CCGCACUUGGAACUGGGGGCACCUGAUCUAGCAUGCGCGUGUGUGAAGAAGGCUUCGGGUUGUAAAGCACUUUUGUCCGGAAAGAAAUCCUUUUCGAUAAUACCGGAAGGGGAUGACGGUACCGGAAGAAUAAGCACCGGCUAACUACGUGCCAGCAGCCGCGGUAAUACGUAGGGUGCGAGCGUUAAUCGGAAUUACUGGGCGUAAAGCGUGCGCAGGCGGUGAUGUAAGACCGAUGUGAAAUCCCCGGGCUUAACCUGGGAACUGCAUUGGUGACUGCAUCGCUGGAGUAUGGCAGAGGGGGGUAGAAUUCCACGUGUAGCCAGUGAAAUGCGUAGAGAUGUGGAGGAAUACCGAAUGGCGAAGGGAGCCCCCUGGGCCAAUACUGACGGCUCAUGCCGAAAGCGUGGGGAGCAAACAGGAUUAGAUACCCUGGUGGUCCACGACAUAAACGAUGUCAAACUGGUUGUCGGGGCCUUCACUGGCUUGGUAACGUAGCUUACGCGUGAAAGUUGACCGCCUGGGGAGUACGGUCGCAAGAUUAAAACUCAAAGGAAUUGACGGGGACCCGCACAAGCGGUGGAUGAUGUGGAUUAAUUCGAUGGCAACGCGAAAAACCUUACCUACCCUUGACAUGGACGGAAGACCGGUGAGAGCUGGUUGUGCCCGAAAGGGAGCCGUCACACAGGUGCUGCAUUGGCUGUCGUCAGCUCGUGUCGUGAGAUGUUGGGGUUAAGUUCCCGCAACCGAGCGCAACCCUUGUCCCUAGCUGCUACGCAAGAGCACUCCAGGGGAGACCUGCCGGUGACAAACCGGAGGAAGGUGGGGAUGACGUCAAGUCCUCAUGGCCCUUAUGGGUAGGGCUUCACACGUCAUACAAUGGUCGGAACAGAGGGUAGCCAAGCCGCGAGGUGGAGCCAAUCCCGGAAAACCGAUCGUAGUCCGGAUCGCAGUCUGCAACUCGACUGCGUGAAGCUGGAAUCGCUAGUAAUCGCGGAUCAGCAUGCCGCGGUGAAUACGUUCCCGGGUCAUUGUACACACCGCCCCGUCACACCAUGGGAGUGGUUUAGCUAGAGAUGUGGUAUUAAAAGAAACAUUGACUCAGGACACGCAUAGGU
rnacentral:rRNA from 1 species